rnacentral:piRNA from 1 species
UGAAGUAUUUUUCCCCCUUUU